rnacentral:rRNA from 1 species
GAUGAACGCUAGCUACAGGCUUAACACAUGCAAGUCGAGGGGUAACGAGAGGGAAGCUUGCUUUCCUUGUCGACGACCGGCGGAUGGGUGAGUAACGCGUAUCCAACCUGCCCUUCAGUAAGGGAUAGCCUUUCGAAAGAAAGAAUAAUACCUUAUGUGGUCGUCAGAAGACAUCAGACGACGAUCAAAGAUUUAGCGCUGACGGCUGGGGAUGCGUCCCAUUAGGCAGUAGGCGGGGUAACGGCCCACCUAACCUACGAUGGGUAGGGGUUCUGAGAGGAAGGUCCCCCACAUUGGAACUGAGACACGGUCCAAACUCCUACGGGAGGCAGCAGUGAGGAAUAUUGGUCAAUGGCCGUAAGGCUGAACCAGCCAAGUAGCGUGCAGGAUGACGGCCCUAUGGGUUGUAAACUGCUUUUAAACGGGGAUAAAGUGAGCCACGUGUGGUUUAUUGCAGGUACCGUUUGAAUAAGGACCGGCUAAUUCCGUGCCAGCCGCCGCCGUAAUAC